rnacentral:rRNA from 1 species
CCUACGGGAGGCAGCAGUGGGGAAUAUUGGACAAUGGGGGGAACCCUGAUCCAGCGACGCGGCGUGAGUGAAGAAGUAUUUCGGUAUGUAAAGCUCUAUCAGCAGGGAAGAAAGAAAUGACGGUACCUGACUAAGAAGCCCCGGCUAACUACGUGCCAGCAGCCGCGGUAAUACGUAGGGGGCAAGCGUUAUCCGGAUUUACUGGGUGUAAAGGGAGCGUAGACGGUUACGCAAGUCUGGAGUGAAAGGCGGGGGCUCAACCCCCGGACUGCUUUGGAAACUGUAUAACUGGAGUGCAGGAGAGGUAAGUGGAAUUCCUAGUGUAGCGGUGAAAUGCGUAGAUAUUAGGAGGAACACCAGUGGCGAAGGCGGCUUACUGGACUGUAACUGACGUUGAGGCUCGAAAGCGUGGGGAGCAAACAGGAUUAGAUACCCUAGUAGUC